AUACAGGAAAUGAUGGUUGAUUUUGAAUUCCCAUGUACCAAUUUAUAAUACCAAAGCUAAUGUGUCUAGUGUGGCUACUUUGUUGUUCAGUGAGACAGAACAUACCUUCAGAUCUCAUGUGUCUCUAAAGUGGGCCAGAACACUUUGUUACCUCUGAACUGUUACAACAGCCUCCUAAUUGAUUUUGACCUCCAAGCUUUAGUCUCAUUAGAUAAUAUAAACAAAGAUACUAGAUGUUUACUCCAUGAUGCAUUCAUUUUACAUUCUGAUAACCAGGUUCAAACUCCUCAUAUUUAUUAUCAAGGAUGAGUUUGUUAAAUAUACUAAAGCCAAACUAUAUGAAUAAAGCAGACCAUGGCCUUAGUUUCAUAUGGACAAUAAUAUAGAGUUUAACUAAGAGAGCUUAUUGAAUGUUAUCUGGUCUCUGUAGAAAUUCUAAUUAAUUAGGAUGUUCUGACUGUGACAAGAACUUACUACUGCUUCGAGCCACUGUUUCUCUAUAGAAGCUCUCUGUUCCACCCAAAUAUCUCUGGUCCUGAAAACAUUCCCUUAACCUUAUAGUGCUUGUUCUCACAAUUUGUUCCCAUGGAGCUGUUCUUUCAACUAUAAAACUCUAUUGCCAUUUGAGGAGAGAAAAAGAUAUGACCACUUUGAUAUGAUAUAAUGCUGGAAAUUGAAUCCAGGGCUUAAUGCAUGCUAGGCAAACAUUCUACCUCUGAGCCACAUCUUAGAACAUUUUAUAUAUACUUUUUUCUGCACUCAUUUAACUCCCUCCACGUAGAGGAAUCAUAGCUGUUUCUGAAAUACAUUACUUCUUUGAAUCUUGGCCAUCUAUUUCUCUAAAACUCCACUUGAAGCAGAAAAGCACUGUGUAUUUCCUUCCUUAAGCUCCUGGACACUGCAUGAGGAUGUGAGAAAUAUAUCGAUCUCAAUUCCAAUCAAAGCUAAACACAGUAUUUGCUGUGACUGCAUAGACGUUCUUAGACUUUUUCAAGUCCUGUGAGAUUGAGGUGCCAGCAAUGUUUCCUUUCUCACAUUACUAUGAUGAGUAAUGAGAAUGUAUACAGUUAGCCUCUACCAUAUACUGUGUGGUCAGAAAAUAUGUUAAUUAUAAACAGUCUUAGUUUCCAACUGUUUGGCUAAUUAUCGUAGGAAUGCCAGGACUCAAAUACCAUUCUAGUCAUUUCCUCCCUAUUGUCUGUUACAAAAUAUUUCUUUUAAUCUGGCUAAUUGUUUCUUUUUCUCCAUUCAAAUAGCAAAUGCAUAUAAAUUUAUCGUAGCCUAAUAAAAUUUAAGGUUACAAUUACUAGGAUACACAAAAUAUUGUCUAAAAGACUGUAAAACAAUUAAAUAUCAAAUUAUGCAAAAUCCCAAGGUUUUUAGAAUAGAUUUUUACCUUAUCAUCUAAGGCCCCAGGACCAGGUUCCUGAUAGUGAGCUCUUGUUCUGAGAGAAGUCAUUGGUUAUUGAAAUUGAUAUUUGAGAUGUUUAUUGAAAUAGUCCAAAUUGUGCUAUUUUCACAUUUUAUAUAUUAUUAUUUAAAUUAUGAAAUGUGGUUUAAAUAAUGGUUGGCAUGGAUUUGUAUAUUUAGGAACUUAUAUGCACUUAAUUUUUAAUUUACCUUUAUGGAAAAAUACUAUACACAUUUUAAGAGAUGUUAAUCUCUUUUCUUCCGGGAUGAUUCAUUUUUUUAAAAAAAAAUCAUGUUUCUUUACAUUAUAAAACACCUGACCACUUUGAAGUGUUGUAAAUUGUCUACAAUUUUAGAGUCUUUUAUGUUAUGAUAGCAAUAUAAAUGACUCAUAAGUAUUGGCUCCUGAAAUGAAGAAAUACAACAAAAUUUGGGCAUUUUCUUAUUUACUUCGUUGAGAAAUUGAAGGCUCUUUCCUGGACCACACAUUAUUUUUAUUAUAAUUUUUAAUGCUCUGUAAUAUUUCAUAGUUAAGCGUACUUUACAUAUUCUAAUUCUUAGGAAAGGAAGCCAAUUAGUAAUUAAGCAUUGUUACUUGGAGGCUACAGAAAUUUACAUACAGGCUAUGGAUAGAGAUACUGUCAUCUAAAUUUAGCACUGUGGAGUAAGUUCUAUAAAUUAAACUAAAAUUCAAUAUGGUAGCUAAUUUUAAAGAAAGGAGAUAGGAAAUCUUUUAAGAAACCUUUGACAGUAAUACAGCAUCUCUAGCUGUAUUGCGUUUAACUAUUUUUGAUUAUUACAUAUACCUUAGACUUAAUUUUCAAAGAUGAUGUAUUACUAACAUUAAUUAGACUCAGCAUCUAUUUAUUGUGAAAUAAAACCAAAUCAGCUUUAUAAAUUCUAUGUGUGAGUCACAGAGUGUAUUAUUCAGUGCCGCGUCUACUGUCAAAUGGUGUUGUCUCUCAGUACAACCUCCAAAGCUAGGAACCAUCAAACCGGAAGCCUGGGGUUUCCCAGGAAUCAGUGGAUCUUUGUCCCCCGCUGAAAAGGGAAUCAUAUGACUUGAUGCUUAGCUAGAUGAGGAUGAAGAAGCUGAUUCUUUGCAACCUCUCUCUUUGUCUGAAAUCAUGUGGGGCUUGAAAACACAAACCCGCAGACUAGGACAGUGUUGUAGGAACCGGAGAGGAGAUUUCACAGUUGAACAGAAGCAAAGUGAAGGUUUUAAAAUGG
rnacentral:lncRNA from 1 species